rnacentral:misc_RNA from 1 species
UAUUCCGUCGCUACCUGCACAGCAAAGGACAAAGUCCAUCCACUCUGUCCACGAACUGUGACCGGUGCACAGUCACCAACUGCAGCGAUAAACACCGUGACCAGCUCACACCGACAAUAUUGUCAUCAUAAUCAUAUCAGAAUUGUGACCUCAACAAGCCUCAGCACUGUCCUCCAGCUGUUUAAAGUGCACACUUGCCAACAGGUUGCCGUCCGUCCUUCGUCUCGUGAAAAUCAAUAUCGAUUACCAAAUGAGAAUAAAGAAGUAAAGGCAGACGUCAUUUCUUCAGAACGAGAGCCUUUCAGCGCAUCCAGCGUGUAACACCUGCACAAACCAAGACCGUCCUCCUGCCACAUUAUAAGCGUCGGGAGAUUGGACAGCCAGGGAUUUCUCUUUCAUCACUCCGCAGACAGUUAAAUGGAGGAGCACAAGAAUGUCACUGACAUUAAAACCCAUAAAGCACCGAAGCACAAACAAGAGGAAGCGUUAAAAGAGUUCAAGGAAGCAAUUGCUGACCUUCGCAAGCCUCAGCAUGACGACUAUGAACUUCUCAAAUGGCUGAAGGCUCGGCAGUACGAUGUCGUGAAGGCGGAGGAAAUGUACAGAACGAGCAUGGCAUACCGACAGAAGCUUGGGGUGGACAAACUGUUGGAGGAAUACGAGCCGCCCGAGGUGUUAAAAAUGUACCUGGCAGGUGGUUUUUCUGGCUACGAUAAAGAGGGCUCUCCGGUAAAGGUUGAACUCUUUGGCCGACUUGACAUAAAGGGAAUCGUCUAUUCUGCCAAAAAGGUGGACCUAGAAAAAACCAAACUUUUGCAGUGUGAAAAAACUGUCAUGGACUGGAAGCAGCAAAGUGAAAAGUCGGGAGAUCGUGUAGAUGGCCUAACCGUCAUAUUCGACAUGGAGGGAGUGACCAGCAGAGUGCUAUGGAGGCCAGGACUUCAGAUGUACCUCCACCUCGUCAAGGUACUGGAAGAUAACUAUCCAGAGAUGAUGAAACGAAUGUUUGUUGUGAACGCUCCUCGAAUAUUCCCCCUGUUGUACAAGCUGUGUCGCCCACUGAUAAGCGAGGACACGAGAAACAAAAUCCACGUCCUAGGAAGCAAUUUCAAGGACACUUUACUAAAGUAUAUUGAUGCCGAAGAACUUCCCAUGUUUCUUGGUGGUCUGAAGACGGAUCCAGAUGGAAACCCCCGAUGUGUUACCAUGAUAUGUCAAGGGGGUGAAGUGCCUAAGGAGUACUACCUUCUGGAUAACAAAGAUGAUGAUCACAUGAAGACAGCUUCUAUAUCCAGGGGAGGAAAGCUGUGCCUCUCAUACCAAGUGGACGUUGCUGGCAGUGUGUUGAGGUGGGAAUUCAAAACAGAGGACUUCGAUAUAGACUUUGGAGUGUUUAUGGUGCAGGGUGAGAAUAGUGUACCUGUGGUCCCACUCCAGCGUGUCAACAGUCACAUCGUACCUGAAGAUGGCACCCUUAUUUGUGAGGAAACUGGAACUUAGAUUAUUUCAGAAGACCUCUCAGCUUCCCCUAAACUGUCUCACAAAAAACCCCUUGAAUGAUGUGGUAUUUAGCAACAGCUUCAGCUGGGCCCGUGGUAAAGAUAUACGCUAUGUGGUUGAGCUGAUAACACCAGCAGAG